AAAUCAUGUUUCCUUUGAUCAAGUUAAUGGAUGAACACUAUUGGGUUAAAGGGACACUAUAGACACCAAAACAACUUUAGCUUAAUAAAGCAGUUUUGGUGUAUAGAUCAUUCCUGAUGUCUUACUUUUUAAGCCCUUAAGGACCAAACUUCUGGAAUAAAAGGGAAUCAUGACAUGUCACACAUGUCAUGUAUCCUUAAGGGGUUAAG